rnacentral:rRNA from 1 species
GCGGCAGCUUACACAUGCAGUCGAACGGUAGCACGUAGCAGGCUUGCUUUCUUUGCUGACGAGUGGCGGACGGGUGAGUAAUGCUUGGGAAUCUGGCUUAUGGAGGGGGAUAACUGUGGGAAACUGCAGCUAAUACCGCGUAUUCUCUGAGGAGGAAAGGGUGGGACCUUAGGGCCACCUGCCAUAAGAUGAGCCCAAGUGGGAUUAGGUAGUUGGUGGGGUAAAGGCCUACCAAGCCUGCGAUCUCUAGCUGGUCUGAGAGGAUGACCAGCCACACUGGAACUGAGACACGGUCCAGACUCCUACGGGAGGCAGCAGUGGGGAAUAUUGCGCAAUGGGGGGAACCCUGACGCAGCCAUGCCGCGUGAAUGAAGAAGGCCUUCGGGUUGUAAAGUUCUUUCGGUAAUGAGGAAGGGAUGUUGUUAAAUAGAUAGCAUCAUUGACGUUAAUUACAGAAGAAGCACCGGCUAACUCCGUGCCAGCAGCCGCGGUAAUACGGAGGGUGCGAGCGUUAAUCGGAAUAACUGGGCGUAAAGGGCACGCAGGCGGACUUUUAAGUGAGAUGUGAAAUCCCCGAGCUUAACUUGGGAACUGCAUUUCAGACUGGGAGUCUAGAGUACUUUAGGGAGGGGUAGAAUUCCACGUGUAGCGGUGAAAUGCGUAGAGAUGUGGAGGAAUACCGAAGGCGAAGGCAGCCCCUUGGGAAUGUACUGACGCUCAUGUGCGAAAGCGUGGGGAGCAAACAGGAUUAGAUACCCUGGUAGUCCACGCUGUAAACGCUGUCGAUUUGGGGAUUGGGCUAUAUGCUUGGUGCCCGAAGCUAACGUGAUAAAUCGACCGCCUGGGGAGUACGGCCGCAAGGUUAAAACUCAAAUGAAUUGACGGGGGCCCGCACAAGCGGUGGAGCAUGUGGUUUAAUUCGAUGCAACGCGAAGAACCUUACCUACUCUUGACAUCCUAAGAAGAGCUCAGAGAUGAGCUUGUGCCUUCGGGAAC